rnacentral:rRNA from 1 species
AGAGUUUGAUCCUGGCUCAGGAUGAACGCUGGCGGCGUGCCUAAUACAUGCAAGUCGAGCGAACGGACGAGAAGCUUGCUUCUCUGAUGUUAGCGGCGGACGGGUGAGUAACACGUGGAUAACCUACCUAUAAGACUGGGAUAACUUCGGGAAACCGGAGCUAAUACCGGAUAAUAUUUUGAACCGCAUGGUUCAAAAGUGAAAGACGGUCUUGCUGUCACUUAUAGAUGGAUCCGCGCUGCAUUAGCUAGUUGGUAAGGUAACGGCUUACCAAGGCAACGAUGCAUAGCCGACCUGAGAGGGUGAUCGGCCACACUGGAACUGAGACACGGUCCAGACUCCUACGGGAGGCAGCAGUAGGGAAUCUUCCGCAAUGGGCGAAAGCCUGACGGAGCAACGCCGCGUGAGUGAUGAAGGUCUUCGGAUCGUAAAACUCUGUUAUUAGGGAAGAACAUAUGUGUAAGUAACUGUGCACAUCUUGACGGUACCUAAUCAGAAAGCCACGGCUAACUACGUGCCAGCAGCCGCGGUAAUACGUAGGUGGCAAGCGUUAUCCGGAAUUAUUGGGCGUAAAGCGCGCGUAGGCGGUUUUUUAAGUCUGAUGUGAAAGCCCACGGCUCAACCGUGGAGGGUCAUUGGAAACUGGAAAACUUGAGUGCAGAAGAGGAAAGUGGAAUUCCAUGUGUAGCGGUGAAAUGCGCAGAGAUAUGGAGGAACACCAGUGGCGAAGGCGACUUUCUGGUCUGUAACUGACGCUGAUGUGCGAAAGCGUGGGGAUCAAACAGGAUUAGAUACCCUGGUAGUCCACGCCGUAAACGAUGAGUGCUAAGUGUUAGGGGGUUUCCGCCCCUUAGUGCUGCAGCUAACGCAUUAAGCACUCCGCCUGGGGAGUACGACCGCAAGGUUGAAACUCAAAGGAAUUGACGGGGACCCGCACAAGCGGUGGAGCAUGUGGUUUAAUUCGAAGCAACGCGAAGAACCUUACCAAAUCUUGACAUCCUUUGACAACUCUAGAGAUAGAGCCUUCCCCUUCGGGGGACAAAGUGACAGGUGGUGCAUGGUUGUCGUCAGCUCGUGUCGUGAGAUGUUGGGUUAAGUCCCGCAACGAGCGCAACCCUUAAGCUUAGUUGCCAUCAUUAAGUUGGGCACUCUAAGUUGACUGCCGGUGACAAACCGGAGGAAGGUGGGGAUGACGUCAAAUCAUCAUGCCCCUUAUGAUUUGGGCUACACACGUGCUACAAUGGACAAUACAAAGGGCAGCGAAACCGCGAGGUCAAGCAAAUCCCAUAAAGUUGUUCUCAGUUCGGAUUGUAGUCUGCAACUCGACUACAUGAAGCUGGAAUCGCUAGUAAUCGUAGAUCAGCAUGCUACGGUGAAUACGUUCCCGGGUCUUGUACACACCGCCCGUCACACCACGAGAGUUUGUAACACCCGAAGCCGGUGGAGUAACCUUUUAGGAGCUAGCCGUCGAAGGUGGGACAAAUGAUUGGGGUGAAGUCGUAACAAGGUAGCCGUAUCGGAAGGUGCGGUUGGAUCACCU